rnacentral:rRNA from 1 species
AACGAACGCUGGCGGCAUGCCUAACACAUGCAAGUCGAACGAGACCUUCGGGUCUAGUGGCGCACGGGUGCGUAACGCGUGGGAUCCUGCCCUUAGGUUCGGAAUAACUCCCCGAAAGGGGUGCUAAUACCGGAUAAUGUCUUCGGACCAAAGAUUUAUCGCCUUUGGAUGGACCCGCGUUGGAUUAGCUAGUUGGUAGGGUAAAAGCCUACCAAGGCGACGAUCCAUAGCUGGUCUGAGAGGAUGAUCAGCCACACUGGGACUGAGACACGGCCCAGACUCCUACGGGAGGCAGCAGUGGGGAAUAUUGGACAAUGGGCGAAAGCCUGAUCCAGCAAUGCCGCGUGAGUGAUGAAGGCCUUAGGGUUGUAAAGCUCUUUUAACCGGGAUGAUAAUGACAGUACCGGGAGAAUAAGCGCCGGCUAACUCCGUG